AUUGAACGCUGGCGGCAUGCCUAACACAUGCAAGUCGAGCGGAUGAAGGGGGCUUGCUCCUGGCUUCAGCGGCCGACGGGUGAGUAAUGCCUAGGAAGCUGCCUGGUCUUUGGGGAUAACGUCCGGAAACGGGCGCUAAUACCGCAUACGUUCAUAGGGUGAAAGUGGGGGAUCUUCGGACCUCACGGUUUUUGCUGAGCCUAGGACGGAUUAGCUAGUUGGUUAGGUAAAGGCCUACCAAGGCGACGAUCCGUAACUGGUCUGAGAGGAUGAUCAGUCACACUGGAACUGAGACACGGUCCAGACUCCUACGGGAGGCAGCAGUAGGGAAUAUUCGGCAAUGGGCGAAAGCCUGAUGCAGCAAUGCCGCGUGUGUGAAGAAGGUCUUCGGAUUGUAAAGCUCCUUUAGUAGGGAAGAAGAAAAGUGAGUUUAUACAUGGCUGUUUUGACGGUACCUAAAGAGUAAGCACCGGCUAACUACGUG
rnacentral:rRNA from 1 species